ensembl:snRNA U5 U5 spliceosomal RNA
ACACUCAUGUUUCUUUUCAUAGCGUAUAAAUCUUUCGCCUUUUACUAAAGAUUUCCGUGGAGAGGAACACAAUGAGUAUAACAUAAUUUUUUGAUGCUCUGCUUAAUUGUGGGGCU